GGAAUCAUAUGGUUUGACUUAGAUUUUUAAACUUUUAUUUUGAAAUUAUAAAGACUGUUGCAAAGAUAGUUCAGGAGAUCUCAUGUUCACACAGCUUCCUAUAAUGGAUGAAUCUUAAUUAUAAUACAAUAUUAUAUCAUAGUCUGUGUGUGUAAUCAGGAAUUUAACUUUAUUUUUGUAUUGUUGUAUGUCAUUUUAUCAUGUGCAGAUUCAUAUAACCACCACAAUCAAGAUAUGGAACUAUUCCAUUGCCAUAUAGAUCUCUCUCAUGCUUCCCCUUUAUAGUUAUACUUCUCACUUUCCCUGUCACCAUCCCUAAUCCUUACCAACCAUUAAUAAUCUUUUUUUUCCAUUUCUAUAAUUGUCAUUUCCAGAGCAUCAUAUAAAUGGAAUCAAACAGUGUAUCACAUUUUAAGAUUGACUUUUUUCAUUCAGCAUAAUGACCCUGGAACCCAUUCAAGUUGUAUGCACCAAUAGUUUACCACUUUUGGUUGCUGAAUAGUAUUUAAUGGCAUAGAUGUAUCAGUUUGUUUAAACCAUUUACAUACUGACAUACAGCACAUGACCGGCUUUUCCUCAACAUAAUGACCUUAAGGCCCAUACAAGUUGUGUAUAUCAAAAGUUCAUUUCCAGUGUUUGGCUAUUAAAUAAUAAAUAAGGCUGUUAUGAAUGUAUGUGUACAAGUUUUUAUGCAGACAUUUUCAUUUAAUUAGGGUAAAUGUUUAGGAGUCAAAUUCCUGGGUCAUAUGAUAAGUUUUUUAGGAAACUGAAAAGCUGUUUACCAGAGUGGCUGUAUCUUUUUACAUUCCCACUGGCAAUGUAUGACAGAACUAGUUUCUCAGUUUUGUCAGCAUUUGGCAUUUUCAUUAUUUUUUUAUUUUAGCUGAGAGGUGUGUAGAUGUCCCAACAUAGGCACAAUUUGCAUUUCCUGUCUAUGGGGUUGCACAGAGUCAGACACGACUGAAGCAACUUAGCAGCAGCAGCAGCAAUGGCUAAUGACAUUAGACAUCUUUUCACAUGCUUAUUUGCCAUCUAUAUAUCCUCUUCAACGACAUCUGAUUUUUUAAUGUUGAGUUUUGAUAGUUCUUUAUAUAUUGUAGAUAUGAGUCCUUUGUCAGAUUUGUGGUUUGCAAAUAUUUUCUCCCAGUCUUUAGUUUGCCUUUUAAUCCUCUAAACAGGGUGUUAGAACAAGAUGUUAAUGAAGUUCAAUUUGUCAAAUUUUUUUCUGUUUUUGGCAUCAUGUCAGGAAUGUGUUCACUUUAUGACAAUUUCUUAAUCUGUACAUUUACAGUUUGUGCCUUUCUCUAUAUAUAUUAUACUUUUUAUGCUUCAGUUUAAAAUUAAAUAAAAAGCUAAAAAUAUUUAAAGACCCUCAAUAAGGACUUUCCUUGUGGCUCAGUGAAUAAGAAUCUUCCUGCCAAUGCAGGGGACAUGGAUUUCAUCCCCGGUUUGGGAAGAUCCCACAUGCCACAGAGCAACUAAGCCCAUGCACCACAAUUACUGAAGCCCAUGCACAACUACUGAGCCUGUGUGCUGCAACUACUGAAGCCCACAUGACGAAAGCCUGUGCUGGGCAACAAGAGAAGCCACCACAAUGAGAAGCCUGAGCACCACAACGAAGAAUAGCCCCCACACCCUGCAACUAGAGAAAGCCCACACACAGCAACCAACACCUAGUGCAACAAAAAAUGAAGAAAUAAAUGAAUAAAACCCCUCAACAACAUGUCAAUUCUCUCCAAAUUGGUCUAUAGAUAUAAUGCAAUUUCUUUCAAAAUACCAGCAAGAUAUGUUCAGGCACAGGAAAGCUUAUUCUAAAAUGUGUAUGAAAAGGCACAGGCCCUAGAAUAGAUAAACAAUUUUGAAAAAGAAGACUGGGGUGGGAGGAAUAACUAUUUGAUAUUAAGGGUUACUAUAUACAACAAUUAAAAUAGUGUGGUAUUGGUGUAAGUAUAGACGCAUAAGAUUAAUGGAAUAGAAUAGAGAUUGCAUAAAUAGACCCACACAAGUAUGGCCACUUGAAUUUUUACAAAAGGGCAAAGGUAAUUCAACAGAGAAAGGACAGUUUUUUCAACAAGCAAUGUUGGUACAAUUGAACACUUCAUAGGCAAAAAAAGA
ensembl:lncRNA